UACGGAGGAGGCAAGCGUUAUCCGGAAUUAUUGGGCGUAAAGCGUCCGUAGUUGGUUUAGUAAGUCUGCUGUUAAAGCGCGGGGCUUAACUCCGUAUCGGCAGUGGAAACUACUAGACUAGAGUGUGGUAGGGGUAGAGGGAAUUCCCAGUGUAGCGGUGAAAUGCGUAGAUAUUGGGAAGAACACCGGUGGCGAAGGCGAGUCCCUGGACACUUCCUGACACUGAGGCACGAAAGCUAGGGGAGCAAACAGG
rnacentral:rRNA from 1 species